rnacentral:rRNA from 1 species
GAUGAACGCUGGCGGCGUGCCUAAUACAUGCAAGUCGAGCGAACGGACGAGAAGCUUGCUUUUCUGAUGUUAUCGGCGGACGGGUGAGUAACACGUGGAUAACCUACCUAUAAGACUGGGAUAACUUCGGGAAACCGGAGCUAAUACCGGAUAAUAUUUUGAACCUCAUGGUUCAAAAGUUAAAGACGGUCUUGCUGUCACUUAUAGAUUGAUCCGCGCUGCAUUAGCUAGUUGGUAAGGUAACGGCUUACCAAGGCAACGAUGCAUAGCCGACCUGAGAGGGUGGUCGGCUAGACUGGAACUGAGAAACGGUCCAGACUCCUACGGGAGGAAGCAGUAGGGAAUCUUCCGCAAUGGGCGAAAGCCUGACGGAGCAAAGCCGCGUGAGUGAUGAAGGUCUUAGGAUCGUAAAACUCUGUUAUUAGGGAAGAACAUAUGUGUAAGUAACUGUGAACAUAUUGACGGUACCUAAUCAGAAAGCCACGGCUAACUACGUG